rnacentral:sRNA from 1 species
AGUUAUCAGAUUCUCAAACUGGACAGCGACUUAAAGCAAUUAAAGACCACUGCGACAAAUGCUCCUGCUAAUACCACUCCGAAGUUAAUCGCGCAGACGUCUGGACUUUAAAAGCAAAGCGAGUUGAAUUCCUUCUUGUGGACCAUUAAGCGAGACCCACCAUCUUACUUCUUUGGCACAAUCCAUGUCCCGUACACCCGAGUUUGGGACUUCAUCCCCGACAACUCUAAGGAGGCUUUCCUGCAGAGCAGCAUUGUGUACUUUGAGUUGGAUCUCACAGACCCCUAUACCAUCUCAGCUCUCACCAGCUGUCAGAUGCUGCCACAGGGCGAGAACCUCCAAGAUGUGCUCCCCAGGGACAUCUACUGCCGCCUCAAGCGCCACCUGGAGUAUGUCAAGCUCAUGAUGCCCUUGUGGAUGACCCCAGACCAGCGCGGCAAGGGGCUCUAUGCAGACUACCUCUUCAAUGCUAUUGCCGGAAACUGGGAGCGCAAGAGGCCUGUCUGGGUGAUGCUCAUGGUCAACUCCCUGACUGAAGUGGACAUUAAGUCCCGUGGAGUGCCUGUCUUAG